ensembl:lncRNA
GUGUUCCUCAGGCAGCAACAGGUGUCUUCUACAGGGGCAGGGUGGUCUGGCUGGGAGCCUCCUGACUUGUGUGUUCCUCAGGCAGCAACAGGUGUCUUCUACAGGGGCAGGGUGGUCUGGCUGGGAGCCUCCUGACCUGUGUUUUCCUCAGGCAGCAGCAGGUGUCUUCUACAGGGGCAGGGUGGUCUGGCUGGGAGCCUCCUGACCUGUGUGUUCCUCAGGCAGCAGCAGGUGUCUUCUACAGGGGCAGGGUGGUCUGGCUGGGAGCCUCCUGACCUGUGUGUUCCUCAGGCAGCAGCAGGUGUCUUCUACAGGGGCAGGGUGGUCUGGCUGGGAGCCUCCUGACCGGUGUGUUCCUCAGGCAGCAGCAGGUGUCUUCUACAGGGGCAGGGUGAUCUGGCUGGGAGUCUCCUGACCUGUGUGUUCCUCAGGCAGCAGCAGGUGUCUUCUACAGGGGCAGGGGGGUCUGGCUGGGAGCCUCCUGACCUGUGUGUUCCUCA